rnacentral:snoRNA from 1 species
AUGCCUGUGAUGAAGCCUGUGUUGGUAGGGACAUCUGAAAGUGCCAGUGGCUCUGAUGGUGGUGU